UACAGAGGUCUCAAGCGUUGUUCGGAUUCAUUGGGCGUAAAGGGUGCGUAGGCGGCGCGGUAAGUCGGGUGUGAAAUCUCGGAGCUUAACUCCGAAACUGCAUUCGAUACUGCCGUGCUUGAGGACUGGAGAGGGGACUGGAAUUUACGGUGUAGCGGUGAAAUGCGUAGAGAUCAUGAGGAAGACCAGUGGCGAAGGCGGGUCUCUGGACAGUUCCUGACACUGAGGCACGAAGGCCAGGGGAGCAAACGGG
rnacentral:rRNA from 1 species